AUUGAACGCUGGCGGCAUGCUUUACACAUGCAAGUCGAACGGUAACAGGCCUUGGGGUGCUGACGAGUGGCGAACGGGGGAGUAAUGCAUCGGAACGUGCCCAGGGGUGGGGGAUACCGCAGCGAAAGCGGUGCUAAUACCGCAUGUGAUCUGAGGAUGAAAGCGGGGGACCAGGCAGCAAUGUUUGGCCUCGCGCCUUUGUAGCGGCCGAUGUCAGAUUAGGUAGUUGGUGGGGUAAAGGCCUACCAAGCCGACGAUCUGUAGCUGGUCUGAGAGGACGACCAGCCACACUGGGACUGAGACACGGCCCAGACUCCUACGGGAGGCAGCAGUGGGGAAUUUUGGACAAUGGGCGCAAGCCUGAUCCAGCAAUGCCGCGUGCGGGAAGAAGGCCUUCGGGUUGUAAACCGCUUUUGUACGGAACGAAAAGGCUCUGGCUAAUACCUGGGGCUGAUGACGGUACCGUAAGAAUAAGCACCGGCUAACUACGUG
rnacentral:rRNA from 1 species